rnacentral:rRNA from 1 species
AGGUUAACCGUAUAGGGGAGCCGUAGGGAAACCGAGUCUUAACUGGGCGAAUGAGUUGCAGGGUAUAGACCCGAAACCCGGUGAUCUAUCCAUGGGCAGGUUGAAGGUUGGGUAACACUAACUGGAGGACCGAACCGACUAAUGUUGAAAAAUUAGCGGAUGACUUGUGGAUGGGGGUGAAAGGCCAAUCAAACCGGGAGAUAGCUGGUUCUCCCCGAAAGCUAUUUAGGUAGCGCCUCGUGAACUCAUCUUCGGGGGUAGAGCACUGUUUCGACUAGGGGGUCAUCCCGACUUACCAACUCGAUGCAAACUGCGAAUACCGAAGAAUGUUAUCACGGGAGACACACGGCGGGUGCUAACGUCCGUCGUGAAGAGGGAAACAACCCAGACCGCCAGCUAAGGUCCCAAAGUCAUGGUUAAGUGGGAAACGAAGUGGGAAGGCUCAGACAGCCAGGAUGUUGGCUUAGAAGCAGCCAUCAUUUAAAGAAAGCGUAAUAGCUCACUGGUCGAGUCGGCCCGCGCGGAAGAUGUAACGGGGCUAAACCAUGCACCGAAGCUGCGGCAGCGACACAUAGUGUUGUUGGGUAGGGGAGCGUUCUGUAAGCCUGCGAAGGUGUACUGUGAGGUAUGCUGGAGGUAUCAGAAGUG